UGGCUAGUUAAAACAUUUAAUUUUGAAAACAUAAAAUUAUUUUGAGUCCCAACGUCAUCACUCCCUCGCCGUCGUCCUUCCCUGCUGCUGCUCCUCCAGCUCGACCACUUCACCUCCGACCAUGACGAGCUCUGCCCUCUCCGUCGCGAGCGGUGGCGGCGCAUCUCAGCGGAGGUUCCAGGAAGAUGCAGGUCCGUGCUCUCCUCUUCUCCGCCGACCCCAGCCGCUAUUUCCAGCCGCCGCAGGCGCCUCCAGUCCCCGCCGCAGCCGCCUCUCGGCCUCUGAUUAGCCCAGCUGGGCGAGGCCGUGGCAACACAGAAGGACGCCGCCGUACUAAUUGAUGACGAGGCAAAACCCUAGGCCGUGAACAUGUGCGAGUUCAAUAAGCCCCAGAUGCGAGCCAACUAUGGGAGGCACACAACUCCGGUCCAAGCUUCAGCAUCCGUGCUGCUGCAUCAGCCAUUUACCGGCCGCACUGCGUGUACUUGUCACCGCAGGUCACCUCUCCAGCCAUCUGCAAGGUAAGUCAUGCCUAAUGCCUUAUCUCUUCACUGGAGCUUGCUAGUCUUCACUUGUUCUUGCCAAUACUGCUUGCUAUUUUAAUGCUUGUGGAUACAGGUAAAGAUAGUCAUGAAUAUGUCCAGAUUGUUAACUCGGUUACCUCCCAUCUGGCAUCUGGGGGCAGAGGCAUGUCUGACAAUUCAAACAACAAAGUUUAUGUUAGCCUGGUGCUAUCUCCUACACCACGGAGGAAGUACUAUUGAACAUUGGAAGUCUGAGAGUGCACUGCAUAUUAUUUGGUGUGAAAAGGAAUAGAGUGAAGACUUGAAGAAGAUCAUGCAAUCAGUCAACACUCAUCAAUGAAAAAAGGAGCCAGGAGGCAGUAGGGCACUAUUUUUGUGGAUUUGUCCAUAUAUUAUAGAGGAUGGUGCACUACUGAAUACAAUCAGCGGCUAUCUCCUGUUGGAUUUCUUCUCAUCCGACAUAUGAGGUCCAUUUUAUGGAUCAGUUCUCUGUGUGGCAGUAAUUCAAGGCUAAAUAUGUAGCAUAUUUCUUCAAUGCAUGAAAAAUAUUUCCUUUUGCCUUUUUAUGUUUGUACAUUCAGAGAAAACUUCAUACAUUUAUUGCUGAAUUUGCUAGAUUUCUUUUACGCGAAAAUAUAAUUUGGUUUUAUUUUACUUUUCAUGUAUAUAGUUUGUGGCAAUAACUGGUGAAUAGUAACAUGUUGGUAUUGUCAAAGUUCUGGAUAAAAAACUUUAGGAUACCUAUCAUUUUAAUUUACCUUGCUAGAUUAGGCUGAUUAGUAUUGUUGUUUUCUUGCAGGUGCACUUUUCAAGGUUUAUAUUAUUCUAAUUUGCGGUUUUUUUUUCUGGUGUAAAAAAGCAAUUAUCAGAAUGGUUUGCGGAAGUUGAGUAGUCAGUUUAGCCUCCGCAAUUCAUGUGUUUUCUUUAUGUUCUGUCAUGCACACAAGAUUACCUUUCCUGAAUUUAGCUCCAACCGACAGUAAGUACUGCAUCUAGCUUUAAUAAUUUUGCAAUUUAUGUAUUGAAGGAGAUUAAGAAGUUUCUAAUUCAUGAUUACCUCAUUCGUUUCUCUCGAAUUCCAUUUACUUGCGAGGUCAACAUGCUUUCUGUUUUUCCUUCUUAAAUAGUUAUGAUGCUAUACUCAUAUUUUUUAUAUUUAGCCAAAGAAAUCACAGCAGCUCUCACCUUGCCCGCUAAAAAUGGUUGGUUAUGUCUCUCACUAAAUAAGGCAUAUCCCUCCUUGGGUGUUAUUUGGUGCGAUGGAAUACAUGCCCAGCAACGGUGCAAAAAGAAAUGAACUUGGACUGUGGCUAGCUAAUAUAUCUGUUGUAGAUCUGCGAUUUGUAGUGUUACAACAAAUAUAUGCAGUGGUACAUCCUAAAGUUACGAAAACUCAUAAACACAAGAUAUACCACUUUGCUUCAUCGCUGCAAAUGUCUACCGUCAUAUGCUUUUUCAUACAGAACUUAGUUUUCUAUAUUGUAUAACCUAGUAGUCCUAAUUUAGGUGCGGUUACUGUCUUCUGCUAUUUUUGAUCUUCAAUUGAUAAGUGACCAACCAUCAUAUGGUCAAUAUAAUGCCCUAAUUUUUAUGCAUGUUCUCAUUUAUGAUUUACGACAGUAAAAAGACAGAUCAAGUCUAGGAACAUAUAUCUCUGUUAAGUAUUCCUACUCUUGCCAUUUAUAUACGAGGGGUUGUUGCAGAAACAAAUUGUUUUCACUAGAUUGUUAUGUGUGAUUUGGCACUUUAUAUUUGUAGUACUAAUUCAUGUUGAGUUUAGUAGGUUCAUUUCCAUGUAGAGAGGUGAAUACUUACAUACUAAGUUCAUUUUUCCAAUAACCACUAUUUCUACCUCAUGAUUAAACAUUGUUUUCUGAAGCUUUACUGUCAACACUACAGAUGUAAGUACCAGACUGAACAUUUAUGUCAGGUACUGUUUAAUAUACUAAGUGAUCCCAGACCGAUUGCAUGAAGACAAUCGUUAGAACUUCUUGAAAAAAAAGAAAGCUUUCUCCUCUCAGCCCUUUAGAUAUACUUGGCUCAACUUAGUAAUAGAAUAUCUGAAACUACCUCCUCCUUAUGCACAAUAAUUGCCUAAAGCUUCCUUCCUAAAAUACUCUAAAUUUUAACAGUGCUUAUGCAUAUUUUGCUUCCAAAAACUUAACUAAGACUCAGUACUGUAGAGUGGGUCUGCUUUCUGGCUGAAGCGUUUUCCAGCUUUGCUACGACUUUUCUGAAAAUAUCCCAUUACUCCUACUAACUACUACUUUUCUUUUGAUUAUACUGAGUUACUAGGUGUAUUAUUGCUCCCACUAUUCCAGACUAUUUAGAUUUUGGAACUGUGAAUAUAAUACGGGAAGUACGAAGCAAGAUAAUGUGCUCAACUUUUCUCUCUGAUUUAUUUUGUUAACAUCUAUGAUUGCUCGACAUGGUUCCCUUCAAAGAUGUUUCUCAUCAACAAGCAAUUUUCUGUUAUUUUGCGUGUAAUGUUUUGGUUCUCUUUGAUUUGCGACUGCUGUAUGUAAUAUUUUUCCUUACAUUCUCCAUGUCUACUUAUUCACGGACUACUUAUCAUUAAGUUGUAUUCGUGCUUAACAUAUUGUUUCAUAAGCCGCUUACUAUGUGAACGGCGGGGUCAUGUGUUAGUAGGCUUCAUAAUGAACUAGGCUUUGCAGUUGCAUGAGGCAAGCCAUUUUCUCUGUCGUGUUGGCAUCAGGUAGCUGUACCUGGUGUUGUUGUCACAAUAUCAUCUACUUACAUGUUUCAGUCAAGAAGUUGCUCCUCAAGUAUAUAUGCAGUUAAUUUUUUUUGUAUGCAUGUUAAAUGAAAUCUGAUUCCCCGUUGUUGUGUUUUACCCAUCAGAUCAGUUUCCACUGAUGAGGGAGAGUUCUUCGGAUGUGUUCUUAUCCUACUGAGCUUUGUGGUGACUAGCAUUAUUCUAUUGUAUGUUUUGUUCUCGUCAUUGCUGAAAUGUUGCUAAACUGGCAUGAGAUUGUUUCUUUCCUUUGACAACAAAGGGACUAUAGAUUUGGCUCA